rnacentral:rRNA from 1 species
GACGAACGCUGGCGGCGCGCUUAACACAUGCAAGUCGAACGCGAACGGGGCUUCGGCCCUUAUUAGAGUGGCGCACGGGUGAGUAACGCGUAGACAACCUGCCCUUAGUCCGGGACAACCCGCCGAAAGGCGGGCUAAUACCGGAUACGACCUUGGGUCUAGUGACCUCAAGGUGGAAAGACUCGUCGCUAGGGGAUGGGUCUGCGUGACAUUAGUUAGUUGGUGGGGUAACGGCUCACCAAGACGACGAUGUCUAGCGGGUCUGAGAGGACGACCCGCCACACUGGAACUGAGACACGGUCCAG